ensembl:rRNA 5S_rRNA 5S ribosomal RNA
GUCUUUGGCCAUACCACCUGAAUGUGCCCGAUCUCGUCUGAUGUUGGAAGCUAAGCAAGGUCGGGCCUGGUUAGUACUUGGAUGGGAGACCACCGGGAAUACCGGGUGCUGCAGGCU